rnacentral:rRNA from 1 species
ACUCCUACGGGAGGCAGCAGUGGGGAAUCUUGGACAAUGGGCGCAAGCCUGAUCCAGCCAUGCCGCGUGAGUGAAGAAGGCCCUAGGGUCGUAAAACUCUUUCGCCAGGGAUGAUAAUGACAGUACCUGGUAAAGAAACCCCGGCUAACUCCGUGCCAGCAGCCGCGGUAAUACGGAGGGGUUAGCGUUGUUCGGAAUUACUGGGCGUAAAGCGUACGUAGGCGGAUUAGUCAGUCAGAGGUGAAAUCCCAGGGCUCAACCCUGGAACUGCCUUUGAUACUGCUAGUCUUGAGUUCGAGAGAGGUGAGUGGAAUUCCAAGUGUAGAGGUGAAAUUCGUAGAUAUUUGGAGGAACACCAGUGGCGAAGGCGGCUCACUGGCUCGAUACUGACGCUGAGGUACGAAAGUGUGGGGAGCAAACAGGAUUAGAUACCCUGGUAGGAUAGCG